rnacentral:rRNA from 1 species
GACGAACGCUGGCGGCGUGCUUAACACAUGCAAGUCGAACGGAAAGGCCCUGCUUUUGUGGGGUGCUCGAGUGGCGAACGGGUGAGUAACACGUGAGUAACCUGCCCUUGACUUUGGGAUAACUUCAGGAAACUGGGGCUAAUACCGGAUAGGAGCUCCUGCCGCAUGGUGGGGGUUGGAAAGUUUCGGCGGUUGGGGAUGGACUCGCGGCUUAUCAGCUUGUUGGUGGGGUAGUGGCUUACCAAGGCUUUGACGGGUAGCCGGCCUGAGAGGGUGACCGGCCACAUUGGGACUGAGAUACGGCCCAGACUCCUACGGGAGGCAGCAGUGGGGAAUAUUGCACAAUGGGCGGAAGCCUGAUGCAGCAACGCCGCGUGCGGGAUGACGGCCUUCGGGUUGUAAACCGCUUUCGCCUGUGACGAAGCGUGAGUGACGGUAAUGGGUAAAGAAGCACCGGCUAACUACGUGCCAGCAGCCGCGGUGAUACGUAGGGUGCGAGCGUUGUCCGGAUUUAUUGGGCGUAAAGGGCUCGUAGGUGGUUGAUCGCGUCGGAAGUGUAAUCUUGGGGCUUAACCCUGAGCGUGCUUUCGAUACGGGUUGACUUGAGGAAGGUAGGGGAGAAUGGAAUUCCUGGUGGAGCGGUGGAAUGCGCAGAUAUCAGGAGGAACACCAGUGGCGAAGGCGGUUCUCUGGGCCUUUCCUGACGCUGAGGAGCGAAAGCGUGGGGAGCGAACAGGCUUAGAUACCCUGGUAGUCCACGCUGUAAACGGUGGGUACUAGGUGUGGGGUCCAUUCCACGGGUUCCGUGCCGUAGCUAACGCUUUAAGUACCCCGCCUGGGGAGUACGGCCGCAAGGCUAAAACUCAAAGGAAUUGACGGGGCCCCGCACAAGCGGCGGAGCAUGCGGAUUAAUUCGAUGCAACGCGUAGAACCUUACCUGGGUUUGACAUGGAUCGGGAGUGCUCAGAGAUGGGUGUGCCUCUUUUGGGGUCGGUUCACAGGUGGUGCAUGGCUGUCGUCAGCUCGUGUCGUGAGAUGUUGGGUUAAGUCCCGCAACGAGCGCAACCCUUGUUCACUGUUGCCAGCACGUUAUGGUGGGGACUCAGUGGAGACCGCCGGGGUCAACUCGGAGGAAGGUGGGGAUGACGUCAAGUCAUCAUGCCCCUUAUGUCCAGGGCUUCACGCAUGCUACAAUGGCUGGUACAGAGAGUGGCGAGCCUGUGAGGGUGAGCGAAUCUCGGAAAGCCGGUCUCAGUUCGGAUUGGGGUCUGCAACUCGACCUCAUGAAGUCGGAGUCGCUAGUAAUCGCAGAUCAGCAACGCUGCGGUGAAUACGUUCCCGGGGCU